GAAACUGGUGCUAAUACCGAAUGGUCUUCAUAGCUGUUGGGCUAUGGAGUAAAGGUGGCCUCUUCAUGAAAGCUACCGUGUAGGGAUGAGCCUGCGUACCAUUAGCUAGUAGGUGGGGUAAUGGCCCACCUAGGCUACGAUGGUUAGCGGGUCUGAGAGGAUGAUCCGCCACACUGGAACUGGAACACGGACCAGACUCCUACGGGAGGCAGCAGUGAGGAAUAUUGCGCAAUGGGGGAAACCCUGACGCAGCGACGCCGCGUGAGUGAGGAAGGUUUUCGGAUCGUAAAGCUCUGUCAGAAGGGAAGAAGUGUUAUACAGUUAAUACCUGUAUAAUUUGACGGUACCUUCAGAGGAAGCACCGGCUAACUCCGUGCCAGCAGCCGCGGUAAUACGGAGGGUGCAAGCGUUGUUCGGAAUUACUGGGCGUAAAGGGCGCGUAGGCGGCCUGAUAAGUCAGAUGUGAAAGUCCACGGCUCAACCGUGGAAGUGCAUUUGAAACUGUCAGGCUUGAGUAUCGGA
rnacentral:rRNA from 1 species